GUUCCUACAAGUUAGUUACCUAGGCGCCCUAGUAAUAUAAAUAAACAAAUUGAAAAAGUUAUUCUGAUUUCUAGUAUCGAUCGAUUACUUCUGGCAUCUGUAGAUUUGUAUUUGUGUGGGGCAACACUGCAUGACCGUGCGCCACUCUACAUGUCAUACUUCCUCACACAUCAAACGGACAGCAACGCUGCUUGAUUGGCGCGAGCCGCCAUUACAGGCACAAGUUUCGAGCAGGUAAGACGUGCAUCAUUGUCCAGAUCGGUAAUCUGCGCAAUAGGUGAUUUCCCGAGUUAAACUGCGGAUUACACAGUAUUCUGCUCUUAGAAUCGAAGUUUCGAGUAGGUACCAUCUCAGAGUUUUGAAAUCUGAAUGCCCAAGAUUUUGCACGAAGUACGAUGUUUUUGUGCAACUAUGACGUAUACCAGGCUUCGCAUGAGAAGCUAAAAUUUAAAUGUUCUUAAGUAUGGAUAUAAUAGUCCUAGAAUACAGUCAGUUACUAGACCUGAACGUGUUCAUUCCAUAAGAAAAUCAUAAGCUGAUCAUAUUUAAUAUAUAUGCAGCAACUAUCAUCGGUUAGGUUCUCUGCUAUACGCCCUGUUCCUGGAUGUCUGAUUUCACAAGUACAGAGUGCUAAAACACGGAUGAACCAGUUUAGGUAUGACUCUCGGCACUCGUAAAACGCUGUGAAGCUAUAAGAAGACAUGGGGGCGCGCGUACAGAUGCAUACUAUUAAACAGCAGGCCCGGUACUAGUUUUCUGGAAGGACUAAAAAAUCUAAGAGAUUGAUUAUUAAUUUUUUUGUCUCCUAGAAAUUAUAACAACAGAUGGCCAAAGAAA